rnacentral:rRNA from 1 species
GAGUUUGAUCCUGGCUCAGGACGAACGCUGGCGGCGUGCCUAAUACAUGCAAGUAGAACGCUGAAGGAGGAGCUUGCUCUUCUGGAAGAGUUGCGAACGGGUGAGUAACGCGUAGGUAACCUGCCUGGUAGCGGGGGAUAACUAUUGGAAACGAUAGCUAAUACCGCAUAAAAUUGAAUAUCGCAUGAUAAUUGAUUAAAAGAUGCAAUUGCAUCACUACCAGAUGGACCUGCGUUGUAUUAGCUAGUAGGUGAGGUAACGGCUCACCUAGGCGACGAUACAUAGCCGACCUGAGAGGGUGAUCGGCCACACUGGGACUGAGACACGGCCCAGACUCCUACGGGAGGCAGCAGUAGGGAAUCUUCGGCAAUGGGGGCAACCCUGACCGAGCAACGCCGCGUGAGUGAAGAAGGUUUUCGGAUCGUAAAGCUCUGUUGUAAGAGAAGAACGAGUGUGAGAGUGGAAAGUUCACACUGUGACGGUAUCUUACCAGAAAGGGACGGCUAACUACGUGCCAGCAGCCGCGGUAAUACGUAGG